CCACCAGACUCCUACGGGAGGCAGCAGUGAGGAAUAUUGGUCAAUGGGCGCGAGCCUGAACCAGCCAAGCCGCGUGAGGGAGGAAGGUACAGAGUCUCGUAAACCUCUUUUGUCAGGGAACAAAGGCGGGGACGUGUCCCCGGAUGAGUGUACCUGAAGAAAAAGCAUCGGCUAACUCCGUGCCAGCAGCCGCGGUAAUACGGAGGAUGCGAGCGUUAUCCGGAUUUAUUGGGUUUAAAGGGUGCGUAGGCGGAUGCCCAGGUCAGCGGUAAAAUCGGGGGGCUCAACCUCGCUCCGCCGUUGAAACUGGCGUUCUUGAGUGGGCGAGAAGUAUGCGGAAUGCGUGGUGUAGCGGUGAAAUGCAUAGAUAUCACGAAGAACUCCGAUUGCGAAGGCAGCCUACUAAACUGCCACUGACAUUGAUGCUCGAAAGUGUGGGUAUCAAACAGGAUUAGAUACCCGUGUA
rnacentral:rRNA from 1 species